rnacentral:rRNA from 1 species
AACGAACGCUGGCGGCAUGCCUAACACAUGCAAGUCGAACGGGACCGUCGGGCCUAGGUGCGCACGUGUGCGUAACACGGGGGAACCUGCCCUUAGGUUCGCAGUAACUCCCCUAAAGGUGUGCUAAUAACACAUAAUCUCUUCGCACCAAAGAUUUAUCGCCUUUGGAUGGGCCCGCGUUGGAUUAGCUGGUUGGUAGUGUAAAAGCCUACCAAGGAGACGAUCCAUAGCUGGUCUGAGAGGAUGACCAGACACACUGGGACUGAGACACGGCCCAGAACCGUACGGAAGGGAGCAGAGGGGAAUACUGGAGAAGGGGGGAAGGCAUGAUAAAGCCAUGCGGGGUGAGUGAUGAAGGCCUUAGGGUUGUAAAGCUCUCUUAGACGGGGUGAGAAUGACAGUACCGGGAGAAUAAGCUCCGGCUAACUCCGUG